rnacentral:rRNA from 1 species
AUUGAACGCUGGCGGCAGGCCUAACACAUGCAAGUCGAGUGGAGCGGCGGACGGGUGAGUAAUGCCUAGGAAUCUGCCUGGUAGUGGGGGAUAACGUCCGGAAAGGGGCGCUAAUACCGCAUCCAUUAAGAUGACUCUGGGCUGGAUUAGCUAGUUGGUGGGGUAAAGGCCUACCAAGGCGACGAUCCGUAACUGGACUGAGAGGAUGAUCAGUCACACUGGAACUGAGACACGGUCCAGACUCCUACGGGAGGCAGCAGUGGGGAAUAUUGGACAAUGGGCGAAAGCCUGAUCCAGCCAUGCCGCGUGUGUGAAGAAGGUCUUCGGAUUGUAAAGCACUUUAAGUUGGGAGGCGUUACCAACAGAAUAAGCACCGGCUAACUUCGUGCCAGCAGCCGCGGUAAUAC